rnacentral:rRNA from 1 species
AUUGAUCGCUGGCGGCAGGCCUAACACAUGCAAGUCGAGCGGUUGACGGGAGCUUGCUCCCUGAUUCAGCGGCGGACGGGUGAGUAAUGCCUAGGAAUCUGCCUAUUAGUGGGGGACAACGUUUCGAAAGGAACGCUAAUACCGCAUACGUCCUCCGGGAGAAAGCAGGGGACCUUCGGGCCUUGCGCUAAUAGAUGAGCCUAGGUCGGAUUAGCUUGUUGGUGAGGUAAUGGCUCACCAAGGUGACGAUCCGUAACUGGUCUGAGAGGAUGAUCAGUCACACUGGAAAUGAGAAGCGGUGCAGACUCCUACGGGAGGCAGCAGUGGGGAAUGUUGGACAAUGGGCGAAAAGAUGAACCAGCCAUGCCGCGUGUGUGAAGAAGGUCUGCGGAUUGUAAAGCACUUUAAGUUGGGAGGAAGGUUUGUAGAUUAAUACUCUGCAAUUUUGACGUUACCGACAGAAUAAGCACCGGCUAACUCUGUGCCAGCAGCCGCGGUAA